UAGGGAAUCUUCCACAAUGGGCGAAAGCCUGAUGGAGCAACGCCGCGUGUGUGAUGAAGGGUUUCGGCUCGUAAAACACUGUUGUAAGAGAAGAAUGACAUUGAGAGUAACUGUUCAAUGNGUGACGGUAUCUUACCAGAAAGGAACGGCUAAAUACGUGCCAGCAG
rnacentral:rRNA from 1 species